UAAUGAUUAACUGUUCCUCUUGCAUCCUCUGUGUUUAACAUAAGGUGCCAUUAAAAUAGACCGCAGGUGUCUCCUGUCUUUUAAAAAACAACACACAGGGAGUUAUUAAGAAAGGGUUAAGUUAGUUUCAGUGUUACCUUGAUUAAUGCAAUAAUGAAAGAAACAUGGACUUGUACACUGUGAUGCCUUUAAGGAAAUCAGUACAAUGGCGCCUCCGAGGUUUGUGGUGAUGUGUGGAGGUAUUUACUUCGAAUUCAUCAUUUGUAUAGGUUUGUUUCCAGGUUUCCUGCCACCUCGUUUUGGUUGCUGUAUCGUCUGUUGUCAUUUCUCAGUUUUCCGUGCGUCUCUCUGUUUAUACCCUUCUCUUCUUUAAAAUGGCAGUCGGCGGUGCUCACCAAAGUUCCAUGCAGAGAAAGCUGAUGGAGAAGCAUGGAUAAAGGAGUUCUGAUUCAGCUUAUACAUUAGCUAAACAACAAAGGGGCUGAACACCACCAAGUGUGAACCGGCGUGUGAACGAUGGACAUGAGGACUGUGGUGAUACUGGUGUGCCAGUGCAGGUCCAUCGGUCCUGAUGGGGAUACCAUCCACUGCCCAGGGAACCAAGCUGCCAUGCUAAGAGCGACCAUGUGUGGGUUCCUGUGUUA